GACGAACGCUGGCGGCGUGCCUAAUACAUGCAAGUCGUGCGGACCUUUUAAAAGCUUGCUUUUAAAGGGUUAGCGGCGGACGGGUGAGUAACACGUGGGCAACCUGCCUGUAAGACUGGGAUAACGCCGGGAAACCGGGGCUAAUACCAGAUCGUUUUUUCCUCCGCAUGGAGGAAAAAGGAAAGGCGGCUUCGGCUGCCACUUACAGAUGGGCCCGCGGCGCAUUAGCUAGUUGGCGGGGUAACGGCCCACCAAGGCAACGAUGCGUAGCCGACCUGAGAGGGUGAUCGGCCACAUUGGGACUGAGACACGGCCCAAACUCCUACGGGAGGCAGCAGUAGGGAAUCUUCCGCAAUGGACGAAAGUCUGACGGAGCAACGCCGCGUGAGUGAAGAAGGCCUUCGGGUCGUAAAACUCUGUUGCCGGGGAAGAACAAGUGCCGUUCGAACAGGGCGGCGCCUUGACGGUACCCGGCCAGAAAGCCACGGCUAACUACGUG
rnacentral:rRNA from 1 species